GCGCGGGUGGCGGAAUAGGUAGACGCGCUAGCUUGAGGUGCUAGUCCACGAAAGUGGGUGGGGGUUCAAGUCCCCCUUCGCGCA
rnacentral:tRNA from 1 species